rnacentral:rRNA from 1 species
AUGGUUUACGGAGCAGAAGAAGUGUUGCCUAGUGACAUCCGUCAUGACUCGCCCCGUGUGGCGGCUUAUGUUGAAGCAAACAAUGAAAAAGCCAGACAGGUUGUGCUUGACUUGCUGGAUGAAGAAAGGGACUUAGCAGUGACACGGUCAGCAAUUUAUCAACAGGACCUGCGUCGUUAUCACAGCCACCGGGUUAAGUCCAGGACUUUUCAGGAAGGCGACUUGGUGCUCCGGCUCAUCCAGGAUCUUUCAGAUGCACACAAGUUAUCCCCACCUUGGGAGGGACCCUUUGUGGUUAGUAAAAAUUUAAACAAUGGGUCAUACUACCUCAUUGACGUUCGAGAGCAUGCAGACUCACGUAAGUCGGAAGAGGAGACCCGCCGGUCAUGGAACAUUGCUCAACUUCGGCCAUAUUACACCUGA